AGCAACGGCUGGGCCCCAAAUACCAAACCCAGUGUGUGUGUGUUGCUGACGAAGCCAAGAUCUCCGUGGCUUCGGGACUUUUCGAGCGUGUGGCAGACUUCCAUGGCGGGCCUCUUCGCCCCAGGAACACACCCUCCCCUGCAAAGGAGCAAGAGGCCUGAAAGGCACUUUUCUCAUUAACAAUUCCGGCCACGCAGGAGACUGGAAGGCUUGGGCCACCAGGGGGCACUGCUGAUGCCACGGAGUCCAGCUACCAGCUUCUCACAACCCUUAGCCAUGCUGGCUGGGGCAGAUGGGAGCUGUAGUCCAAUGGGACACCAGGAAGGCUGCCGUUUGUCCAUCAACACAUGGCAUCCUCCAGAGAACCUCCCGUCACCGAAACCACGUGGAGAGGCAAAAGUUCCCAAAUAGAUGUCCAAAUCCACAGGCUAAAUCUGAGACAUUCUGCCAUCCCGACAAGGACGUCCCACUAAGUUAAGCAGAAGACAGGAUAUUUUAGCAGCCAGCGAGGAAGCAAGAAAGAAAGGAAGUAGGGGAAAACUUGCAAGCUGGUGCAGGGCAUUCAAAAUGCUCUGGGACAAGUGAACAUGGACUGGCUGUCAUUCUUCAGAA